CAGGAUAGCAGCAAUGAAUUGACGAGCUAAGGAUGACGAUGCUCUUCCACGCAUUGUUUCAAAACGAAAUUGCAGCACUGGAAUCAAUAUGCGGAAGCAAUUUAGGUUUUAUGGAACUUGUUUAUGAAAUUGUUGAAUGUUCGUCAGUUAAUGUUUUGGAAAACUUCCGAGAUCAGGACGAUGUGGAUUCUAAUUCAGAUCGGAAGUGAAAACAGCAAUAGGAAGGAGGAAAGUCACCUGUAGAAGGAACAGAGGAGUAGAUCGCCGGAGAUUAGAGGUUGAAGACGAUCGACGCUUAGAAUUCCGUCGCGCGGUUGUUGAAGCG